GGGUUGUGAGGUUAAGCGACUAAGCGUACACGGUGGAUGCCCUGGCAGUCAGAGGCGAUGAAGGACGUGCUAAUCUGCGAAAAGCGUCGGUAAGGUGAUAUGAACCGUUACAGCCGGCGAUGUCCGAAUGGGGAAACCCAGUGUGAUUCGUCACACUAUCGUUAACUGAAUACAUAGGUUAACGAGGCGAACCGGGGGAACUGAAACAUCUAAGUACCCCGAGGAAAAGAAAUCAACCGAGAUUCCCCCAGUAGCGGCGAGCGAACGGGGAGCAGCCCAGAGUCUGAAUCAGCUUGUGUGUUAGUGGAACGGUCUGGAAAGUCCGACGGUACAGGGUGAUAGUCCCGUACACCAAAAUGCACAGGUUGUGAACUCGAAGAGUAGGGCGGGACACGUGGUAUCCUGUCUGAAUAUGGGGGGACCAUCCUCCAAGGCUAAAUACUCCUGACUGACCGAUAGUGAACCAGUACCGUGAGGGAAAGGCGAAAAGAACCCCGGCGAGGGGAGUGAAAAAGAACCUGAAACCGUGUACGUACAAGCAGUGGGAGCACCUUCGGGUGUGACUGCGUACCUUUUGUAUAAUGGGUCAGCGACUUAUAUUCUGUAGCAAGGUUAACCGUAUAGGGGAGCCGCAGGGAAACCGAGUCUUAACUGGGCGUUAAGUUGCAGGGUAUAGACCCGAAACCCGGUGAUCUAGCCAUGGGCAGGUUGAAGGUUGGGUAACACUAACUGGAGGACCGAACCGACUAAUGUUGAAAAAUUAGCGGAUGACUUGUGGCUGGGGGUGAAAGGCCAAUCAAACCGGGAGAUAGCUGGUUCUCCCCGAAAGCUAUUUAGGUAGCGCCUCGUGAACUCAUCUUCGGGGGUAGAGCACUGUUUCGGCUAGGGGGUCAUCCCGACUUACCAACCCGAUGCAAACUACGAAUACCGAAGAAUGUUAUCACGGGAGACACACGGCGGGUGCUAACGUCCGUCGUGAAGAGGGAAACAACCCAGACCGCCAGCUAAGGUCCCAAAGUCACAGUUAAGUGGGAAACGAUGUGGGAAGGCACAGACAGCCAGGAUGUUGGCUUAGAAGCAGCCAUCAUUUAAAGAAAGCGUAAUAGCUCACUGGUCGAGUCGGCCUGCGCGGAAGAUGUAACGGGGCUAAACUGUGCACCGAAGCUGCGGCAGCGACACUUAGGUGUUGUUGGGUAGGGGAGCGUUCUGUAAGCCUGCGAAGGUGGCCUGUGAGGGUUGCUGGAGGUAUCAGAAGUGCGAAUGCUGACAUAAGUAACGAUAAUGCGGGUGAAAAGCCCGCACGCCGGAAGACCAAGGGUUCCUGUCCAACGUUAAUCGGGGCAGGGUGAGUCGACCCCUAAGGCGAGGCCGAAAGGCGUAGUCGAUGGGAAACAGGUUAAUAUUCCUGUACUUGGUGUUACUGCGAAGGGGGGACGGAGAAGGCUAUGUUAGCCGGGCGACGGUUGUCCCGGUUUAAGCAUGUAGGCGGAGGUUCCAGGUAAAUCCGGUACCUUUUAACGCUGAGGUGUGAUGACGAGGCACUACGGUGCUGAAGUAACAAAUGCCCUGCUUCCAGGAAAAGCCUCUAAGCAUCAGGUAACAUUAAAUCGUACCCCAAACCGACACAGGUGGUCAGGUAGAGAAUACCAAGGCGCUUGAGAGAACUCGGGUGAAGGAACUAGGCAAAAUGGUGCCGUAACUUCGGGAGAAGGCACGCUGAUAUGUAGGUGAAGCCCCUGCGGGUGGAGCUGAAAUCAGUCGAAGAUACCAGCUGGCUGCAACUGUUUAUUAAAAACACAGCACUGUGCAAACACGAAAGUGGACGUAUACGGUGUGACGCCUGCCCGGUGCCGGAAGGUUAAUUGAUGGGGUUAUCCGUAAGGAGAAGCUCUUGAUCGAAGCCCCGGUAAACGGCGGCCGUAACUAUAACGGUCCUAAGGUAGCGAAAUUCCUUGUCGGGUAAGUUCCGACCUGCACGAAUGGCGUAAUGAUGGCCAGGCUGUCUCCACCCGAGACUCAGUGAAAUUGAACUCGCUGUGAAGAUGCAGUGUACCCGCGGCAAGACGGAAAGACCCCGUGAACCUUUACUAUAGCUUGACACUGAACAUUGAGCCUUGAUGUGUAGGAUAGGUGGGAGGCUUUGAAGCGUGGACGCCAGUCUGCGUGGAGCCAACCUUGAAAUACCACCCUUUAAUGUUUGAUGUUCUAACGUUGGCCCCUAAUCGGGGUUGCGGACAGUGUCUGGUGGGUAGUUUGACUGGGGCGGUCUCCUCCCAAAGAGUAACGGAGGAGCACGAAGGUUAGCUAAUCCUGGUCGGACAUCAGGAGGUUAGUGCAAUGGCAUAAGCUAGCUUGACUGCGAGCGUGACGGCGCGAGCAGGUGCGAAAGCAGGUCAUAGUGAUCCGGUGGUUCUGAAUGGAAGGGCCAUCGCUCAACGGAUAAAAGGUACUCCGGGGAUAACAGGCUGAUACCGCCCAAGAGUUCAUAUCGACGGCGGUGUUUGGCACCUCGAUGUCGGCUCAUCACAUCCUGGGGCUGAAGUAGGUCCCAAGGGUAUGGCUGUUCGCCAUUUAAAGUGGUACGCGAGCUGGGUUUAGAACGUCGUGAGACAGUUCGGUCCCUAUCUGCCGUGGGCGCUGGAGAAUUGAGGGGGGCUGCUCCUAGUACGAGAGGACCGGAGUGGACGCAUCACUGGUGUUCGGGUUGUCAUGCCAAUGGCAUUGCCCGGUAGCUAAAUGCGGAAGAGAUAAGUGCUGAAAGCAUCUAAGCACGAAACUUGCCCCGAGAUGAGUUCUCCCUGAGACUUUAAGUCUCCUGAAGGAACGUUAAAGACGAUGACGUUGAUAGGUCGGGUGUGUAAGCGUAGCGAUACGUUGAGCUAACCGAUACUAAUGAACCGUGAGGCUUAACCUUACAACGCCGAAGGUGUUU
rnacentral:rRNA from 1 species